GGAUUGGUGGUCUAAUGGCUGCCACUUCUGCUUCAUAAGCAGAAUGUCAUGGGUUCAAUCCCAGGCCCGUCCA
rnacentral:tRNA from 1 species